CUCAAAGGUGUGACACAAGUUGGCUCCAUGUUACCCUUCAUCUGGAGAGCUCAGUGGGUGACACGUGUGAUGACAGAAGAGAUAUUCAGCCAGUGGGACCAGAAUUUGACCUACAACAAUCAGCUAAAUGCAAAAGUAGAGAAUUUUAAGGACAAGAGGUGAAGGAUUACUCAGGAGAGUGCCAGAACUCCCAUUUGAGUGCAUG